AUUGCCCCAGCAUCUGUCCCAUGUUUGCAACAGCAAACUUAACUUGAUCCCUCCUAUCAACUCUUGGCUUCUUAUGUUGAAUCAUCACCUCAGACAUAACCUAUCUUGGAUGGACUACACGGAUGACAACUUGUGGCAUGACAGAGUGCACUGUGUGCAUGAUUUCACGCGGUGACUGCGUAGCCUGGCAUGCCAUGGACGCGAGCUGAGUGUUGUUUUGCUUCGGGUCCCUCCUCCCCGGCCGUUUCCCUCGCGCCCUCGACACCUAGCCAUGUCUAGAAGCUUCCCCUUGUUGUCGCCUUCGCCCUGAACCCCUCUCCCCCUCCGAAUUCUUCCCCAGCGAGUUGUCCCCGUCGAUGCACAGUGAGUGCCCGUGACCGCGUUGUCUUCCUUUCCCGUAGCCUCUUCCUCCCGAGCUGUCGCAUCCCUCUGCUCCUAGUCGGGUCGGCCGCGUCGCGAAGCCGAGCUAGCUGCCACCCCUUCGAGUCCUUCCCACACUAGAGCUCUAACGACGCAUCACUUCGGUCACGCCCAAGCACCGCGUCACCCCGGCUAUUUAAGCCGCUCCCGAAGCCUCCCGAGCUCACCACCAGCCUCACCUUCCUCCCAGCUCCCUCCUCAACCACUCCACCGCGCCGGAGAAGCCCUCCCCGCCUUCCUCUGCCUCCAUGUUCGGUGCCCUCUCCCGCUCAAAUUCGAGCGCCCCGGCUCCUGCCACUCCAUCUAACCAUCUCCAGUAUCCUCCACCACCACCCUAGUCCCUUCCUAGAAGCUCUCCGCCUCCUCCCCGUGGCCGUGGCGUCGUGCCCGGAUUUGCCCGUGGUCGCAGUCCGCCGCGGCCGAGGCCCCUCCCUCUCCUGCAGUUUCCGGCCGGUGUGCUACCUCCAGGCGGGUGCGCCACGCAACUCUGGUCAUUUCGGUGGCCGGAGCGGCGCCUAGGGUGGACCGAGCCGCCGGGACGGUCGCCGGCGCCGGGCCACGCCUCUGUUCUGCGGGCACGGACGAGGUAGAAGACGGAGGACCAGAGGAGAUAGGAGUCAACGCGGGACCCACCGUCAGCCACUCAGCCACCGGGCCCGCGUGAAAAGCGUGUCUCCAAAGAAGGCGCUCUCUGUUUUAACCACCAGGGACUUGUUUGUGGAUAUUUAUUUUACAGAUUAGUCCCUCGCAUUCAUUCAUCUAUAUCGUCCAUAACUUUGAAUCAGGUGAUUCCAAAGCCCACGUUCUUGCCUCAUCGAGCCCAUUUUGUUGGUGUCGUUUUCACUAUGUGCUCACAUACUGUAAAUGAUGAUAUUGCCCUUGUCCUUAUC